rnacentral:rRNA from 1 species
UGGGGAAUAUUGGACAAUGGGCGAAAGCCUGAUCCAGCCAUGCCGCGUGUGUGAAGAAGGUCUUCGGAUUGUAAAGCACUUUAAGUUGGGAGGAAGGGCAGUAAGCGAAUACCUUGCUGUUUUGACGUUACCGACAGAAUAAGCACCGGCUAACUCUGUGCCAGCAGCCGCGGUAAUGCAGAGGGUGCAAGCGUUAAUCGGAAUUACUGGGCGUAAAGCGCGCGUAGGUGGUUCGUUAAGUUGAAUGUGAAAGCCCCGGGCUCAACCUGGGAACUGCAUCCAAAACUGGCGGGCUAGAGUAGGGCAGAGGGUGGUGGAAUUUCCUGUGUAGCGGUGAAAUGCGUAGAUAUAGGAAGGAACACCAGUGGCGAAGGCGACCACCUGGGCUCAUACUGACACUGAGGUGCGAAAGCGUGGGGAGCAAACAGG